GCAACUUGUUCAAGAAAAAAUACCUGUUGGUAACUGCGCUAGGACUUUUUCUGAGUUAGGAACAUUUUCUAUUAAGCCAAGCUAACUCUAGUUAAAUUUACUGAGUUAUACAGCCCUCAAUUCAUGAAUAUUUCAUCUUGCUUUAUUUCUUCUUUAAUUAGAAGCCUAAUAAGUUCAUAGAGCUUACAAACUUAAAGUCUAUGGAAUAAGUAAUGUUCUGAUGGUAGCUCUGAUAUUGUCUGAAAUGCUCUAGGAACUUAAUAAAUUUAGUAAAUGUUUUUAAUAUCAGCAUUAAAAUAGUAAUUUUAUUUAUUACAUUUUUAUACGUAGCAUUCAUCAACAACUUUUGAAACAUAUACGAAAAUUAUCUAAAAAUCCUCAAAAUACCAAUCCAGAAGGAACACCUGCAGGAACAACUGAUGGGGCUGCACCCUUGGCGGAAAGAACUCCUGACAUGGCUGAAAGCUUGGUGGAAAGACCACCUGAUGAGGCUGCACCCUUGGUGGAGGGAACGUCUGACAAAAUUCAAUGUCUGGGGAAAGCGACAUCUGGAAAAUUUGAACAGUCCUCAGAAGAAACACCUAGGAAAAUUAUGAGGCCUACAAAAGAAACAUCUGAGAAAUCUGAAUGGCCAGCAAAAGAAAGACCUAGGAAGAUCACAUGGGAGGAAAAAGAAACAUCUGUAAAGACUGAAUGCGUGGCAGGAGUAACACCUAAUAAAACUGAAGAUUUGGAAAAAGGAGCAUCUAAGGUGAUCACAUGUCCUACAAAAGAAACAUCUAUAAAAGCGAGUACAAAUGUGGAUAUGAGUUCUGUAGAGCCUAAAAUCAGUCUUUGUGGCAAACCGACUAUUGAAAAUUCACAGUCUACAAAACUUGAGGAAGACUUUAAUCUUGCUACCAAGGUAAAAUGGUCUUUUGUGAAGUUGAUUUUCUCAGUUGGAAUCUAGUUCUGUAUAGUAUUUACUUUUCAUGUUUUGCAGUGCUGUAAGUAUCAUUAUUUCAUGUUGGUAAUAUAAAGUUGGUCAGAUAAAAACAUUUUAUAGAAAUAUGAGUUGUUGAUAUAAACAGUUUUUUUUUUUUUUAACUUCAGUAAAUAACAAAUCAUUGGUAAAUACUUGGAGGGUGUGAGGCCAAAAUACAGAAUGGGCUGGAGAAACAGGAACAUUAUACUAGAAAAAACUUUUCCACAAUAGAGAAUAUAUAAAAUUUGGUAAAGGUUUAUUUGCAUAAGUAUACUUACUGUGACUUUUAAAAUUAUUCUAUUGUAACUUAAAACAAAACUCAUGCUUAAAUUUAUCUUAAUAGAUCCAGUUACUUAUUAUUGUAAUCACAGAAUCUCUCUGAUACUGUUCAGUUCCAAAACUGUGCCACAUAGCAUAUAGGUUUUUUAUUUGGCACUUAUUAUUUUGAUAUCACGUAGUUUUUAGGAGAGAGUUUUUUCUUGGUUUCUCUUGUUGGUUCUUUAAUUACACCAAAAUAAUAUUAGAAGUUGUGAAAAUUUAUUUGGGCAUGCUGGUGCAUGCCUGUAGUUUCAACUACCGAGGAGGCUGAUGCAGGAGGAUUGCUUGAGCCCAAGAGUUUGAGACCAGUGUGGGCAACAUAGCGAGACCUUACCUCUAAUUUAAAAAAUAAUGGUAGAAAUUUAGAAAUGUAAAUUCUCUUUCUCAGAGUCUGUAUUAUUAAGGCAUGCCAGUG
rnacentral:lncRNA from 1 species